CACGUAGGGGGCAAGCGUUGUCCGGAUUCAUUGGGCGUAAAGAGCUCGUAGGCGGUUCGAUAAGUCGGGUGUGAAACCUCCAGGCUCAACCUAGAGACGCCACCCGAUACUGUCGUGACUAGAGUCCAGUAGGGGAGCGUGGAAUUCCUGGUGUAGCGGUGAAAUGCGCAGAUAUCAGGAGGAACACCAGUGGCGAAGGCGGCGCUCUGGGCUGGAACUGACGCUGAGGAGCGAAAGCGUGGGGAGCGAACAGG
rnacentral:rRNA from 1 species